GUUCAAACGAUUUGUUUCUCUAAUGUUAGUCACAAACAAAUCCAUCUGCCUGCAGUCCUGAGCAAAUAUUUUGCAUGACAAGACUGAAAGCUUUUAGUCACACACGUCACCCUCUGACAACAGGGGCAUCAUCCUGUUCAAUAUACAAAUAUUCAUCUGGAAACGGACUUGAGGUUUUGGAUGAAAGGGAAAAUCUAUGUUCAAUGUUGUGACUCUUCUUUCGGGGAUAACAAUUCAAGUUUUUCAAGUUUUAGUGCCAAAAUCAGUGAAAGGAAACUAUCAGCGGUGUUCUUGUAUCUCACGGUCUUCAAGAGGAGUUUUCUUCAUAAGAGCCAGAGAGACAAGCCAAGUACAAACAUCACAUGAUUACAUUUACGGGUCCCUGGGAUUACCAUCACUGAGAACCUAUCUCAGUCAUCACACGUCACCACCCCCAUUAAAAACAGCACAGAGAGGGCUCUACUUCCUACAGGAACUUCAGGAGCCUAAAUUCUGGAGGAGCUUCUCAUCAACUUUUACAGAGGAGGAACAGAAAGCAUCGUGACUGGAACCAUCACAGACUGGCAUAGUUUGUGUUUGGCCCAGGACAGGAAGGCUCUACAACUGGCAAUGAAAACCACCCAGAACAUCUCUGGCACCAUCUACAGAGCAGCAGUUAAAGGGAUAUUCCAGCGUAAGUUUAAUCCAUGGUCUGACACACUAUGACACCGAGUAAGACCCCCACUUGAGAGAUCAAGUUUUCCGACUGCUAGCUUAUGUAGUUUUAGCAACCUCAGAAAACACCGCACAAUAACAAUACGGAAUUCCUCUGCACUCUACUUGAUCUCUCGGGGGGGGGGGGGGGGUGUCUUUACUCGGUGUCACUGUGUGUUAGACCGUGGAUUAAAUUCACGCCGGAAUAUCCCUUUGAGAGAGUUGACUGCACGAAGCCCUAAGGAUACCUAAAGAUAACACCCACCCCCGCUGCUAUCUGGCAAAAGAUACAGAAGUAUCUGCUGUCGUACUACAGACACAAGACUUGAUUCUCAGGAAGUGUGUAUCUUAGUGUAGUGGUCAGUGUUAUUAAUCACUCAUGGCACGACACAAAAUGUAAGCAGAAACUGCCAUAUGUUAAGGAAAAUUCUACUUGACCCAGGAAAGAGACCACAGAGCUCGCAACAACUCAUUAGUGCAACAACUAAAAACAAAGAUGUAGACCGAACCACCACUUUACAUUUAUGCAUUCAACACUUUGGCAAAUAAAACGUUCACUUUCUUUUUAAGAGGAAAUGAGAGGAUUGACACCAUUCUCACGUCUGAAUGAUAAAUAUGACACUGUUAGCACAACUUAGCACAAAGACUAUGAACAAUCAGCAUUUGUCAGUCAAGAGGUAAUACAAUCCAACCACCUGCCUCUUUAAGGCUCACUUAUUAACUAGUUGUUGGGUGACCUGAAAUUUUUUUUGUUUCUAAUCAGGACCUGUAACUUCCUGAAGCUAAGCCAACCAGCUGCUCGUGUAACUCUUGGAAAGAAAGUGAACAAGCACAGUUUGCAAAAUGUCACACUUUUUUUUUUAAAUGGGUAAUGCUAAAACCUUUGUCCAUCACAGUAAUGCAUCAUCAUAAAAAAAAAUGUAACCAAAAGCAAAAUGCAGAUGAGCGAGCAGGUGAAUAAAGAGCAAGCACCGCACAACCAUGAGAAAAAAGUUAUGGGGACUGCUGCAUUUAUUUGACUUUUUCAACAUACAUAAAACAAUGUGCGCCGUAGCCAAAAAUGCUUGUAUUUACAAAAAAAAAAAAUCAAUAUACACAAAAGAAUUAUUAUACAACAAAAGAGAAACAAACCCUUCAGUAAUCCUUACAACAACAGAGCAAGUACGAACAAAACUUGUUUUUUGACACCUUGUAAAGUUUUUUGUGCAGAUGUUCUUUUAUUACAAGGAAAUAAAGUGUUUGUAUUUUACAAAACUCAGAUGCACAUCAAAUAUGCAAGCUGCGGCACACAUUCUCUGGGUGUAUGAGGGUAAAAAAAACCAGAAGCUUUCUGACGAAUCAUCAAUGAAACCUUCUUUUCCUCAGCACACCUUUUCUUACCUCCAGUGCAUUAAAUGUGUCUAUCAAACACUAAUUACAAAUGAACUUGAGUAAGUCUGUUGUCUUUUUAGGUUUUUUUCUUCAGGUGAGCAAAGGUAUGGUGUGUGAUUUACAAAGGAAGUGGGCCAUUGACCUUAACCAACAAAAAUCCAAACUUUUGUAGUGUUUCCAUCCAAAGCCUGACGGACUGGUAUAUGUAUUGACUAUAAAACUCGGCAAAAAACUCUCAACCCAUCUCAGGACAAAAUGCUGCUGUGGAAGCAGUGACCGCGUCCUCCUGAAAACGCUGUUUAACAGUGUAUCGAACAGUAGCAACUGAUGCUGGGAACAGAUCCAACCACAUUUCAAAUGUUUGUCACAGACUGUCAGAGCAGCAAGUUCAGUUUCAGAAACCAAUUAUAAACAGCAAGGUUUGAGAAGCAACACGAAGCUACGAGACCAUGUGUCAUAGUGAUGAUACUAAAGGUGGCAAUUUCCUUCUGAGCAUUGCCUUUUCUGCCAAAACAAUGAUACUGGGGCUUAAAUGUACAUGUUUUGGUGUGCAAGUGAUUCCUACUAACCCAAUAUGUUAAAAUCGGUCCAGUAAAUCGGCUCAGCUGGAAGUAGCUGCAAUGUAAUUUGACAAACAUCAAAGUUAUGUCCACUUAAAGUCCUGAACUACACAACUCUUGAGAGAUUUCAGAGCAAAACCUCUUUCUAGUUAUAAAAAUGUUCUUUUUAUUAAACAACAAAAUCUCCCUCUGUAGGAUUAUUGUAGGCAGCCAGUUAGAAUAACAAUCUCAGCCUGUCAGUAGCAGGAACGGACACAACUUUGACAGUCGGAGGUGCUCCAAAGGAUUAUGUUGUAGCUGUUGCCCGCUGAGGCCAUCUACUGGACCCAUUCAAAAACUUUUGGUAAGUAUGAAACAUUUACUCAACAAAACAUGAAGAUAUUAGGCCCAGAUUUUAAGUGGUAAACUGAAAUUACAGGAGUGUCUACUUUUUAGAAUUCCAGUUACUAAUAAUUAUUUUAUGAUGCUUAAUCUGGUGAUCUUUUCCUGACAGUAUACUGUAUAGGAAAAGGGAGAAAACAAAAUUGGUGAUACUCUUUGUUGAUGCUGAAAGACUCCAAACUCCUGAAAAUGCUCCCCGACUGGAAUGACACCUUGUUUAAGAACAUGACAAGCCUAUAACUCAUGUGUUGGAAAAAAAAACAUGCAAAACAUGUAAAUGUCCCAAACUGUCGAGAGCUUGUAUACUCAGAAAAGGUGUCCGAGUAGGUAGACAAUCAUGGAGCGCCAGUUUACUGUUCUUGUUCUAAAACAUUUUCUCCAGGUGCUUUUUGCAAAAUUGAAGCAUCCUGUUGACGGUUGUCGAGGAUCUGCAAAAAUGUAUUACUAUCUGGUAUAGACUUUGCUGCCUGACAAAUACAGCAUUUGUUAAAAUGUUGCAUGUGUUGUUCACCCUCAACAACUUGAGAGCAAAGAAAAAGGAAGAGAUAAAGAAUACUUGAAGCCAACAGCAGCUAGUUUGACGACCAGUCUUUAUGUAAAAUAAUAUUUAGACUGUCCAUGUCUUCCAGGCUGGAAGAAAUGCUGAAAUAAAUUAU